rnacentral:misc_RNA from 1 species
AAGGAUCAUUAUCGAGUUAGGGUCCUCUGGGCCCCAUCUCCAACCCUUGUCUAUUCUACCAUGUUGCUUCGGCGGGCCCGUCCUCAACCGGACCGCUGGGGAGCUAUAUCCCUGGCCCGUGCCCGUCAGUAGGCCCGAUAAAUUCAUCUCACAGUGACGUCUAAGCCAAACUAUAACAAACAAAACUUUCAACAACGGAUCUCUUGGUUCUG